rnacentral:rRNA from 1 species
AUUGAACGCUGGCGGAAUGCUUUACACAUGCAAGUCGAACGGCAGCACGGGGGCAACCCUGGUGGCGAGUGGCGAACGGGUGAGUAAUACAUCGGAACGUGCCCAGUCGUGGGGGAUAACGUAGCGAAAGUUACGCUAAUACCGCAUACGAUCUACGGAUGAAAGCGGGGGAUCGCAAGACCUCGCGCGAUUGGAGCGGCCGAUGUCAGAUUAGGUAGUUGGUGGGGUAAAGGCUCACCAAGCCGACGAUCUGUAGCUGGUCUGAGAGGACGACCAGCCACACUGGGACUGAGACACGGCCCAGACUCCUACGGGAGGCAGCAGUGGGGAAUUUUGGACAAUGGGCGCAAGCCUGAUCCAGCCAUUCCGCGUGCAGGAUGAAGGCCCUGGGUUGUAAACUGCUUUUGUACGGAACGAAACGGCGCUCUCUAAUACAGGGCGCUAAUGACGGUACCGUAAGAAUAAGCACCGGCUAACUACGUGCCAGCAGCCGCGGUAA